rnacentral:rRNA from 1 species
GAUGAACGCUGGCGGCGUGCCUAAUACAUGCAAGUCGAGCGAACGGACGAGAAGCUUGCUUCUCUGAUGUUAGCGGCGGACGGGUGAGUAACACGUGGAUAACCUACCUAUAAGACUGGGAUAACUUCGGGAAACCGGAGCUAAUACCGGAUGAUAUUUUGAACCGCAUGGUUCAAAAGUGAAAGACGGUCUUGCUGUCACUUAUAGAUGGAUCCGCGCUGCAUUAGCUAGUUGGUAAGGUAACGGCUUACCAAGGCAACGAUGCAUAGCCGACCUGAGAGGGUGAUCGGCCACACUGGAACUGAGACACGGUCCAGACUCCUACGGGAGGCAGCAGUAGGGAAUCUUCCGCAAUGGGCGAAAGCCUGACGGAGCAACGCCGCGUGAGUGAUGAAGGUCUUCGGAUCGUAAAACUCUGUUAUUAGGGAAGAACAUAUGUGUAAGUAACUGUGCACAUCUUGACGGUACCUAAUCAGAAAGCCACGGCUAACUACGUGCCAGCAGCCGCGGUAAUACGUAGGUGGCAAGCGUUAUCCGGAAUUAUUGGGCGUAAAGCGCGCGUAGGCGGUUUUUUAGUCUGAUGUGAAAGCCCACGGCUCAACCGUGGAGGGUCAUUGGAAACUGGAAAACUUGAGUGCAGAAGAGGAAAGUGGAAUUCCAUGUGUAGCGGUGAAAUGCGCAGAGAUAUGGAGGAACACCAGUGGCGAAGGCGACUUUCUGGUCUGUAACUGACGCUGAUGUGCGAAAGCGUGGGGAUCAAACAGGAUUAGAUACCCUGGUAGUCCACGCCGUAAACGAUGAGUGCUAAGUGUUAGGGGGUUUCCGCCCCUUAGUGCUGCAGCUAACGCAUUAAGCACUCCGCCUGGGGAGUACGACCGCAAGGUUGAAACUCAAAGGAAUUGACGGGGACCCGCACAAGCGGUGGAGCAUGUGGUUUAAUUCGAAGCAACGCGAAGAACCUUACCAAAUCUUGACAUCCUUUGACAACUCUAGAGAUAGAGCCUUCCCCUUCGGGGGACAAAGUGACAGGUGGUGCAUGGUUGUCGUCAGCUCGUGUCGUGAGAUGUUGGGUUAAGUCCCGCAACGAGCGCAACCCUUAAGCUUAGUUGCCAUCAUUAAGUUGGGCACUCUAAGUUGACUGCCGGUGACAAACCGGAGGAAGGUGGGGAUGACGUCAAAUCAUCAUGCCCCUUAUGAUUUGGGCUACACACGUGCUACAAUGGACAAUACAAAGGGCAGCGAAACCGCGAGGUCAAGCAAAUCCCAUAAAGUUGUUCUCAGUUCGGAUUGUAGUCUGCAACUCGACUACAUGAAGCUGGAAUCGCUAGUAAUCGUAGAUCAGCAUGCUACGGUGAAUACGUUCCCGGGUCU